CUAAGGAGCACCACGAAAAGCACUCCAAUUGGUGGGGUGCGAGCCGUGAGGGGUUCCCGUCUGUAGUGGACGGGGGCCGGGUGCACAACAGCAAAUGAUUGCCAGACACACUAUUGGGCCCUGAGACAACACUCGGUCGAUCCGUGUGGAGUCCCUCCAUC
rnacentral:misc_RNA from 1 species